rnacentral:rRNA from 1 species
AGCGAAAUAAUAGUAGCGAAGUUCCUGAUGUCACACUGCCAAGAAAAGCUUCUAGUGAGAAAACAACUGCCCGUACCGUAAACCGACACAGGUAGUCGAGGAGAGUAUCCUAAGGUGAGCGAGCGAACUCUCGUUAAGGAACUCGGCAAAAUGACCCCGUAACUUCGGGAGAAGGGGUGCUGACUUCGGUCAGCCGCAGUGAAUAGGCCCAAGCGACUGUUUAUCAAAAACACAGGUCUCUGCAAAAUCGUAAGAUGAAGUAUAGGGGCUGACGCCUGCCCGGUGCUGGAAGGUUAAGAGGAUGGGUUAGCUUCGGCGAAGCUCAGAAUUGAAGCCCCAGUAAACGGCGGCCGUAACUAUAACGGUCCUAAGGUAGCGAAAUUCCUUGUCGGGUA